UCCUGUUCUUAAGGUAAAUCUGCUCGGUCAAAGCAUUCAGAAUCAUCUAAUAACAUUGAUGCUGAUGGUGAUGAGGAUUGGUCACGGAUUUCUCAGUUGCUUUCAAGCAUAGCUACUUUUAGAAACAAAUCAAUAGACAAAUGGCAGAGGAAGACACAGGUGACCACAGGUGCUGCUGCUAUUAAAAGCAAGCUGCAUGCUUUUAAUCAGAAUAUCACUGAACAAGUUGCUUCUUAUAUGAGAGAGAUCCAAGCAGAAUGGUUAAGCAGAUGCAGAUGAGGCGAUCGGCAGUUGGUGUAUUUGGCACUGUAAGAUAUUAAAA